rnacentral:tRNA from 1 species
GCCUCGAUAGCUCAGUCGGUAGAGCAGCAGCCUUGUAAGCUGCAGGUCGCGGGUUCAAUUCCCGCCCGAGGCUCCA